AUUGAACGCUGGCGGCAGGCCUAACACAUGCAAGUCGAAUGGUAACAGGAAACAGCUUGCUGUUUCGCUGACGAGUGGCGGACGGGUGAGUAAUGUCUGGGAAACUGCCUGAUGGAGGGGGAUAACUACUGGAAACGGUAGCUAUUACCGCAUAACGUCGCAAGACCAAAGAGGGGGACCUUCGGGCCUCUUGCCAUCAGAUGUGCCCAGAUGGGAUUAGCUAGUAGGUGGGGUAACGGCUCACCUAGGCGACGAUCCCUAGCUGGUCUGAGAGGAUGACCAGCCACACUGGAACUGAGACACGGUCCAGACUCCUACGGGAGGCAGCAGUGGGGAAUAUUGCACAAUGGGCGCAAGCCUGAUGCAGCCAUGCCGCGUGUAUGAAGAAGGCCUUCGGGUUGUAAAGUACUUUCAGCGGGGAGGAAGGGAGUAAAGUUAAUACCUUGGCUCAUUGACGUUACCCGCAGAAGAAGCACCGGCUAACUCCGUG
rnacentral:rRNA from 1 species